AGAGUUUGAUCCUGGCUCAGGAUGAACGCUGGCGGCGUGCCUAAUACAUGCAAGUCGAGCGAACGGACGAGAAGCUUGCUUCUCUGAUGUUAGCGGCGGACGGGUGAGUAACACGUGGAUAACCUACCUAUAAGACUGGGAUAACUUCGGGAAACCGGAGCUAAUACCGGAUAAUAUUUUGAACCGCAUGGUUCAAAAGUGAAAGACGGUCUUGCUGUCACUUAUAGAUGGAUCCGCGCUGCAUUAGCUAGUUGGUAAGGUAACGGCUUACCAAGGCAACGAUGCAUAGCCGACCUGAGAGGGUGAUCGGCCACACUGGAACUGAGACACGGUCCAGACUCCUACGGGAGGCAGCAGUAGGGAAUCUUCCGCAAUGGGCGAAAGCCUGACGGAGCAACGCCGCGUGAGUGAUGAAGGUCUUCGGAUCGUAAAACUCUGUUAUUAGGGAAGAACAUAUGUGUAAGUAACUGUGCACAUCUUGACGGUACCUAAUCAGAAAGCCACGGCUAACUACGUGCCAGCAGCCGCGGUAAUACGUAGGUGGCAAGCGUUAUCCGGAAUUAUUGGGCGUAAAGCGCGCGUAGGCGGUUUUUUAAGUCUGAUGUGAAAGCCCACGGCUCAACCGUGGAGGGUCAUUGGAAACUGGAAAACUUGAGUGCAGAAGAGGAAAGUGGAAUUCCAUGUGUAGCGGUGAAAUGCGCAGAGAUAUGGAGGAACACCAGUGGCGAAGGCGACUUUCUGGUCUGUAACUGACGCUGAUGUGCGAAAGCGUGGGGAUCAAACAGGAUUAGAUACCCUGGUAGUCCACGCCGUAAACGAUGAGUGCUAAGUGUUAGGGGGUUUCCGCCCCUUAGUGCUGCAGCUAACGCAUUAAGCACUCCGCCUGGGGAGUACGACCGCAAGGUUGAAACUCAAAGGAA
rnacentral:rRNA from 1 species